ensembl:snoRNA small nucleolar RNA SNORA2/SNORA34 family
GUGACCUUGAAUCAAGGCCAGCAGUUUGCUGGUAGCUGCUGGUUUCAAACAGGAGACUAAAAAGUCUUUCUGGGUCUGUUGGCCGUUUUAGAACUUUGGAAAUGUAAUGGUCAGUUCAUCAGAAAGAAAUAACC